rnacentral:rRNA from 1 species
AUUGAACGCUGGCGGCAUGCCUUACACAUGCAAGUCGAACGGCAGCACGGGAGCAAUCCUGGUGGCGAGUGGCGAACGGGUGAGUAAUAUAUCGGAACGAGCCCAGGCGUGGGGGAUAACGCAGCGAAAGCUGUGCUAAUACCGCAUACGAACUACGGAUGAAAGAGGGGGAUCGAAAGACCUCGCGCGAUGGGAGAGGCCGAUAUCAGAUUAGCUAGUUGGUGAGGUAAAGGCUCACCAAGGCGACGAUCUGUAGCUGGUCUGAGAGGACGACCGGCCACACUGGAACUGAGACACGGUCCAGACUCCUACGGGAGGCAGCAGUGGGGAAUUUUGGACAAUGGGCGCAAGCCUGAUCCGGCAAUGCCGCGUGCAGGAUGAAGGCCUUCGGGUUGUAAACUGCUUUUGUACGGAACGAAACGGCGAGCUCUAAUACAGUAUGCUAAUGACGGUACCGUAAGAAUAAGCACCGGCUAACUACGUGCCAGCAGCCGCCGUAACAC